rnacentral:rRNA from 1 species
AUUGAACGCUGGCGGCAUGCUUUACACAUGCAAGUCGAACGGCAGCGCGGGGCAACCUGGCGGCGAGUGGCGAACGGGUGAGUAAUAUAUCGGAACGUACCCAGAAGUGGGGGAUAACGUAGCGAAAGUUACGCUAAUACCGCAUACGAUCUACGGAUGAAAGUGGGGGACCUUCGGGCCUCAUGCUUUUGGAGCGGCCGAUAUCUGAUUAGCUAGUUGGUAGGGUAAAGGCCUACCAAGGCGACGAUCAGUAGCUGGUCUGAGAGGACGACCAGCCACACUGGAACUGAGACACGGUCCAGACUCCUACGGGAGGCAGCAGUGGGGAAUUUUGGACAAUGGGCGCAAGCCUGAUCCAGCAAUGCCGCGUGAGUGAAGAAGGCCUUCGGGUUGUAAAGCUCUUUUGUCAGGGAAGAAACGGUCUAGGUUAAUACCUUGGGCUAAUGACGGUACCUGAAGAAUAAGCACCGGCUAACUACGUGGCCAGCAGCGCGGUAAUACGUAGGGUGCAAGCGUUAAUCGGAAUUACUGGGCGUAAAGCGUGCGCAGGCGGUUUUGUAAGUCUGUCGUGAAAGCCCGGGCUCAACCUGGGAAUUGCGAUGGAGACUGCAAGGCUUGAAUCUGGCAGAGGGGGGUAGAAUUCCACGUGUAGCAGUGAAAUGCGUAGAGAUGUGGAGGAACACCGAUGGCGAAGGCAGCCCCCUGGGUCAAGAUUGACGCUCAUGCACGAAAGCGUGGGGAGCAAACAGGAUUAGAUACCCUGGUAGUCCACGCCCUAAACGAUGUCUACUAGUUGUCGGGUUUUAAUUAACUUGGUAACGCAGCUAACGCGUGAAGUAGACCGCCUGGGGAGUACGGUCGCAAGAUUAAAACUCAAAGGAAUUGACGGGGACCCGCACAAGCGGUGGAUGAUGUGGAUUAAUUCGAUGCAACGCGAAAAACCUUACCUACCCUUGACAUGGAAGGAAGUCCGGAGAGAUCUGGAUGUGCCCGAAAGGAAACCUUCACACAGGUGCUGCAUGGCUGUCGUCAGCUCGUGUCGUGAGAUGUUGGGUUAAGUCCCGCAACGAGCGCAACCCUUGUCAUUAGUUGCUACAUUUAGUUGAGCACUCUAAUGAGACUGCCGGUGACAAACCGGAGGAAGGUGGGGAUGACGUCAAGUCCUCAUGGCCCUUAUGGGUAGGGCUUCACACGUCAUACAAUGGUACAUACAGAGGGCCGCCAACCCGCGAGGGGGAGCUAAUCCCAGAAAGUGUAUCGUAGUCCGGAUUGUAGUCUGCAACUCGACUACAUGAAGUUGGAAUCGCUAGUAAUCGCGGAUCAGCAUGUUGCGGUGAAUACGUUCCCGGGUCUUGUACACACCGCCCGUCACACCAUGGGAGCGGGUUUUACCAGAAGUAGGUAGCUUAACCGCAAGGGGGGCGCUUACCACGGUAGGAUUCGUGACUGGGGUG